rnacentral:rRNA from 1 species
CCUACGGGAGGCUGCAGUGGGGAAUAUUGGACAAUGGGCGAAAGCCUGAUCCAGCCAUGCCGCGUGUGUGAAGAAGGCCUUCGGGUUGUAAAGCACUUUCAGUGGGGAAGAAAGCCUUGGGGCUAAUACCCUCGAGGAAGGACAUCACCCACAGAAGAAGCACCGGCUAACUCCGUGCCAGCAGCCGCGGUAAUACGGAGGGUGCGAGCGUUAAUCGGAAUUACUGGGCGUAAAGCGCGCGUAGGCGGUCUGAUAAGCCGGUUGUGAAAGCCCCGGGCUCAACCUGGGAACGGCAUCCGGAACUGUCAGGCUAGAGUGCAGGAGAGGAGGGUAGAAUUCCUGGUGUAGCGGUGAAAUGCGUAGAGAUCGGGAGGAAUACCAGUGGCGAAGGCGGCCUUCUGGACUGACACUGACGCUGAGGUGCGAAAGCGUGGGUAGCAAACAGGAUUAGAUACCCCGGUAGUC